GGUGUUUUCCUUGGCUGGGAGUGGUGAGUGGGACUCACCAGCCUGUCCAUGCCUACGACUUCCCUGCCUUGACAGCCAGGGGGACGACAGAUCAAUUUCAUCUCACCAACUUCCAGCAAUUGGUGCCGAAUCCCAGUCACCCUGUGUCGAUAAGAAAUGUGACGCUAGCAGCAGAUUCUGUGCAAGAGAGUGACAACGGUCUGCUCUGCGCCUGGAGGGAGUCAGCAGGGUUACAACUCUCAGUUACAACUUUACACUGAAGUGCUUUGACGUGGAGAUACCCCAUGUGUUCGUGCAGCCUGUUUGAAGGUUUUAACUGCCGCCAUCACCACCACCGCCAUCCUCACCACCAUCAUGUAGUCAUCAUCAUCAUUACUGUGAUUAAUGUCAACAAGCAGCCCAGAGUGACUGUGGGAUUCCAAUUACCUGAGACAGGCUGGCAGGGGCAGCCCAGGGCCAGGGGAGCCUCAUGAGUGGACCCCUUUCUCUCUGGUGCCUCUUUACACAGUUACAGGUAACCAGGAGCCCAGCAUUUAAUGCACCAGCUGUAGCAUCACCUCUGUCCCCGAGUUCUGCCCACAGCCUGACCUCACAAGUCAAUUGCAGCUGUUUUCAUUGUGCUCGUUGGCUUCCAGCAUCCACCCAGCCCAGCUUUCAACAAAGGGUGGAUUCCCAUGAACUCUAUUCUUUAUUACCAGCUGGUUCCGAUUAGAGAUGAGCCAAUAAAACGAGGGGUAAUACAGUCGCAGUGUGUUCCUGAAUGUAGCACUUUUCCAUGUGUUUUGAUUUACUGUUUGACCAAUAAAAUUCAGCCCUCAGCAAGGUGGA